rnacentral:rRNA from 1 species
UACCAGCACCCCGAGUGGUCGGGACGAUUAUUGGGCCUAAAGCAUCCGUAGCCGGUCCUGCAAGUCUUCCGUUAAAUCCAGCUGCUCAACAGGUGGGCUGCGGGAGAUACUACAGGGCUAGGAGGCGGGAGAGGCAAGCGGUACUUUAUGGGUAGGGGUAAAAUCCGCUGAUCCAUAGAAGACCACCAGUGGCGAAGGCGGCUUGCCAGAACGCGCUCGACGGUGAGGGAUGAAAGCUGGGGGAGCAAACCGG